rnacentral:rRNA from 2 species
UAUUCGCUAAAGGGUGUUCGGGAGGCUACGCCGUAAAACAACCCCAUUUCUAAGGUUGACCUCGGAUCAGGUAGGGAUACCCGCUGAACUUAAGCAUAUCAAUAAC